rnacentral:rRNA from 1 species
UACGAAGGGGGCUAGCGUUGCUCGGAAUCACUGGGCGUAAAGCGCACGUAGGCGGAUUCUUAAGUCGGUGGUGAAAUCCUGGAGCUCAACUCCAGAACUGCCUUCGAUACUGGGAGUCUCGAGUUCGGGAGAGGUGAGUGGAACUGCGAGUGUAGAGGUGAAAUUCGUAGAUAUUCGCAAGAACACCAGUGGCGAAGGCGGCUCACUGGCCCGAUACUGACGCUGAGGUGCGAAAGCGUGGGGAGCAAACAGG